UACGUAGGGGGCAAGCGUUGUCCGGAUUUAUUGGGCGUAAAGAGCGUGUAGGCGGCCGAACAGGUCCACUGUGAAAACUCGAGGCUCAACCUCGAGAGGUCGGUGGAAACCGUCUGGCUAGAGUCCGGAAGAGGAGAGUGGAAUUCCCGGUGUAGCGGUGAAAUGCGCAGAUAUCGGGAAGAACACCCGUGGCGAAGGCGGCUCUCUGGGACGGUACUGACGCUGAGACGCGAAAGCGUGGGGAGCGAACAGG
rnacentral:rRNA from 1 species